GAAAUGCGAUAAAUAAUGUGAAUUGCAGAAUUCAGUGAAUCAUCGAAUCUUUGAACGCACAUUGCGCCCGCCAGUAUUCUGGCGGGCAUGCCUGUUCGAGCGUCAUUUCAACCAUCAAGCCCCCGGCUUGUGUUGGGGACCUGCGGCUGCCCGCAGGCCCUGAAAAACAGUGGCGGGCUCGCUGUCACACCGAGCGUAGUAGCAUACAUUCUCGCUCAGGGCGUGCUGCGGGUUCCGGCCGUUAAACGACCUUCAUAACCCAAGGUUGACCUCGGAUCAGGUAGGAAGACCCGCUGAACUUAAGC
rnacentral:misc_RNA from 1 species